AUGACCAAAACUGCGACAAGAAUUGCCUCACUGACAACCCUCAACCCUCACGCAGCAACCCAAAAAGUGGAAGAAAAAAUAAUACAAAACAAACUGCAAAUGCCUACACUUUCUUUUUCUUCCUCAUUAACUUGAUUCCAACUAUAAAUAAACAAUUAUAAAUAAUAUACACAUUCUACAAAAAGGAUUCACCUCAAUCUCAAUGAUUGGCUUUCACACCCAAUCCAACUGAUGCCAGGUUGCUGCAGAAUAUCGUGCAAAAAAAAAUGAUGGGAAUCAUCUUAUGGAAAAGAAUGGGUAAAUAAAUAUACUUUCACACAGACUGAAUUUUGAGAAGAGCUGGCAAAUGCAAGGCAUUAUGAUGACAGAAUGGAUUGCAAUGCCAUCUGUUGCUGUGGAUGCAACAAUGACCAAGUUGAAGCCAAUGUUGCUGG
rnacentral:misc_RNA from 1 species